rnacentral:rRNA from 2 species
AAAGUUUUUGAACUGGCUCAGGACGAACGCUGGCGGCGUGCCUAAUACAUGCAAGUCGAACGAACUCUGGUAUUGAUUGGUGCUUGCAUCAUGAUUUACAUUUGAGUGAGUGGCGAACUGGUGAGUAACACGUGGGAAACCUGCCCAGAAGCGGGGGAUAACACCUGGAAACAGAUGCUAAUACCGCAUAACAACUUGGACCGCAUGGUCCGAGUUUGAAAGAUGGCUUCGGCUAUCACUUUUGGAUGGUCCCGCGGCGUAUUAGCUAGAUGGUGAGGUAACGGCUCACCAUGGCAAUGAUACGUAGCCGACCUGAGAGGGUAAUCGGCCACAUUGGGACUGAGACACGGCCCAAACUCCUACGGGAGGCAGCAGUAGGGAAUCUUCCACAAUGGACGAAAGUCUGAUGGAGCAACGCCGCGUGAGUGAAGAAGGGUUUCGGCUCGUAAAACUCUGUUGUUAAAGAAGAACAUAUCUGAGAGUAACUGUUCAGGUAUUGACGGUAUUUAACCAGAAAGCCACGGCUAACUACGUGCCAGCAGCCGCGGUAAUACGUAGGUGGCAAGCGUUGUCCGGAUUUAUUGGGCGUAAAGCGAGCGCAGGCGGUUUUUUAAGUCUGAUGUGAAAGCCUUCGGCUCAACCGAAGAAGUGCAUCGGAAACUGGGAAACUUGAGUGCAGAAGAGGACAGUGGAACUCCAUGUGUAGCGGUGAAAUGCGUAGAUAUAUGGAAGAACACCAGUGGCGAAGGCGGCUGUCUGGUCUGUAACUGACGCUGAGGCUCGAAAGUAUGGGUAGCAAACAGGAUUAGAUACCCUGGUAGUCCAUACCGUAAACGAUGAAUGCUAAGUGUUGGAGGGUUUCCGCCCUUCAGUGCUGCAGCUAACGCAUUAAGCAUUCCGCCUGGGGAGUACGGCCGCAAGGCUGAAACUCAAAGGAAUUGACGGGGGCCCGCACAAGCGGUGGAGCAUGUGGUUUAAUUCGAAGCUACGCGAAGAACCUUACCAGGUCUUGACAUACUAUGCAAAUCUAAGAGAUUAGACGUUCCCUUCGGGGACAUGGAUACAGGUGGUGCAUGGUUGUCGUCAGCUCGUGUCGUGAGAUGUUGGGUUAAGUCCCGCAACGAGCGCAACCCUUAUUAUCAGUUGCCAGCAUUAAGUUGGGCACUCUGGUGAGACUGCCGGUGACAAACCGGAGGAAGGUGGGGAUGACGUCAAAUCAUCAUGCCCCUUAUGACCUGGGCUACACACGUGCUACAAUGGAUGGUACAACGAGUUGCGAACUCGCGAGAGUAAGCUAAUCUCUUAAAGCCAUUCUCAGUUCGGAUUGUAGGCUGCAACUCGCCUACAUGAAGUCGGAAUCGCUAGUAAUCGCGGAUCAGCAUGCCGCGGUGAAUACGUUCCCGGGCCUUGUACACACCGCCCGUCACACCAUGAGAGUUUGUAACACCCAAAGUCGGUGGGGUAACCUUUUAGGAACCAGCCGCCUAAGGUGGGACAGAUGAUUAGGGUGAAGUCGUAACAG